UACGUACGAGGCGAGCGUUAUCCGGAAUUACUGGGCGUAAAGCGCGCGCAGGCGGAUAUUUAAGUCGGGGGUGAAAUCCUGGAGCUCAACUCCAGAACUGCCUUCGAUACUGGCGAUCUCGAGUCCGGAAGAGGUGAGUGGAACUCCUAGUGUAGAGGUGGAAUUCGUAGAUAUUAGGAAGAACACCAGUGGCGAAGGCGGCUCACUGGUCCGGUACUGACGCUGAGGUGCGAAAGCGUGGGGAGCAAACAGG
rnacentral:rRNA from 1 species